UAGGGAAUCUUCCGCAAUGGACGCAAGUCUGACGGAGCAACGCCGCGUGAGUGAAGAAGGAUUUCGGUUAGUAAAACUCUGUUGUUAGAGAAGAACAGCGCAUAGAGUAACUGUUAUGCGUGUGACGGUAUCUAACGAGAAAGCCACGGCUAACUACGUGCCAGCAGCCGCGGUAAUACGUAGGUGGCAAGCGUUGUCCGGAUUUAUUGGGCGUAAAGCGAGCGCAGGCGGUCAAUUAAGUCUGAUGUGAAAGCCCCCGGCUCAACCGGGGGGGGUCAUUGGUAACUGAUUGACUUGAGUGCAGAAGAGGAGAGUGGAAUUCCAUGUGUAGCGGUGAAAUGCGUAGAUAUAUGGAGGAACACCGGUGGCGAAAGCGGCUCUCUGGUCUGUAACUGACGCUGAGGCUCGAAAGCGUGGGGAGCAAACAGG
rnacentral:rRNA from 1 species